rnacentral:lncRNA from 1 species
AUCAGUACAGAAGAGAUGCUAUUAACUUUCAUAUUUGCAGCCAAUAAUACAAGACAUCUGUUCUGAGUAACUUCCAUCUGGAAUACUGUAGCCCUCAUUUCCCGUUUGCAUA